CCUAAUAUUUUCUCCCUUCUCCGACGCUCGAUGCCCUCUCUGCACUCUACCCCGACGCUCGACGGCCGAUUUCGCUCGCCUCUCCCACGACCUCCACGCUUUUGGCGGUUCUUCCCUCGCGGUUCGGUGAGGUCUCGGGUAUGCCCUCGUGCUGCGUCUCUUCUUCCUUGCUCAGCAACACCGUACUGCCUCUCUCUCUCUGAGUGUGUCUCUCUGUGCAUUCUUUCAUCCAUGAGGCAAGCAUUUCGACUAGGGUUCAGGGGUUUCGCCACCCCUUCUUCGAGGUUCGUCCGGGUACCUCUCAUUUUUGCGUGAACCCAGCGUGAAUUUUAUAGUCUUUCUUUCCAUAUGACUACCCUUUUCACUUCGAUCGGUCCUUAAGCAAAAGCGACUGCUAAGCGACAAUGCGACGGCAGUUUCGAAUCCUGGGUUUCGCUCUGUGAUGCUAAGCGUUGCUUUGGUUCCUUAAAAAGUUGCUGACUUUUUCGCAUAUUGUAGCUUCUUGGUUGCUCUGAGAUUCUGGGUUGGUCGUUCUAUCGUCUUUCUCUGAGCGAGCGAAAUGUUGUCCAAAAGGGGCGUGUCGAAUUCGUCGACCCUGAGUCGGCGGCGACUUCUGAGGACAAGAAAGGGAAGAAAUCGAAAGGAUUGGUGGCUUCAGUUCCUAGUUCUACCAAAAGUCAUGUCAAGAAAAAUUCUGGUGCAAGCAUUGGUGAAGUCGUGUUGCCUAAUAAUGACCCGGCCAAAAUUGAGGCAAUGAUAUUUCACGAAUUGAGAGCUACAUUGAGGGAGAUUAUUGAGCACGGAAGUGAAUAUUACUGAUGGAAAACCAUGAGGUCUUGAGAAUUUGCCUUCAACAAAGAGCAAUUUGUUUAUGAAAAUGAAAUUUUUUGCAUCACGCUUUUUCUCAAAAUGAUAAUGAAACCUGUAAGUCCUUUUUUGUAUUUCUAUGGUUGUUUCUGAGGCUUGUAAAUUGUUAUUGUAAAGCAUGUGGGAAGAGUACACGGAAUGACUGGGUUGAAGGACUAGCUCCCUACCUACUGUUGCAGUUCAAAGGCAUUCUGAUUUGUUACCGCGAGUGCAUUUGACCCCAAUGAAUUGUCAUAUUUUGACCAAGAAUGUCGGAGUCUGUAUAGAUAUUCUGAUGUUUUAAUCUAGUUAAUUGAUAUAAUAAUAUGCUUGUAAUAGGGUUAGUCCAUUUGCUUUGUGUAUAUUCGAAUGAAAUGCUUCUCAUCUUAAAUAAAGAUCACAGCCAAUGAUCAGUUAAGUUGCUUAUGAGAUAUAAUUAGCAUCUCAAGUGAUGUUGGAUGAAUAAUAAAAUCGGCAUGGGUUGCACUUUGUAUGUCAGAAACGCAAAAGUACUACCUUCUCUCUAUAUUAAUUUGUGUAAGGUGGAUACCGUGCCUUCUGGUUUUCUCCUACACUUGGCUUUUUUGGAUUAUUAUUUUUGAGGUUAUUUCUAGUAUUUUUUGUGUGCAGAUAAAGCCCCUUUCGGUUACAUAUGGCUUGGGCAUAUCAAAUCAUGAUUCUGAGGGACGGCUUGUCACUGCAGAGUUUGAUUCAUUCUAUCUCUUGAGCGGUUACGUUCCUAAUUCUGGUGAUGGCCUGAGAAGACUGAUGUAUAGGAUUUCACAGUGGGAUCCAUCUCUUGGUAACUACAUAAAGAACUUGAAAAGUUGAAGCCUGUGAUUUUGACUGGCGAUCUGAAUUGUACCCAUCAGGAAAUAGACAUUUAUGAUCCUGCGGGAAAUAAAAGAAGUGCUGGAUUUACAAUUGAAGAAAGGGAAUCUUUUGAGACCAACUUCCUGUCGAGGGGCUUUGUUGAUACCUUUAGAAGACAGUAUCCUCAUGCUGUUGGUUAUACUUAUUGGGGUUAUCAGCAUGGUGGGAGGAAGACAAAUAAAGGGUGGCGGCUUGAUUAUUUUCUUGUUUCAGAAUCUAUAGCAGACAAAGUUCAUGACUCGUACAUCCUUCCUGAUAUCACCGAUAGUGAUCAUAGUCCUAUUGGCCUGAUUCUCCAGCUUUAGUUCUGUCAUCUCUUUGGGGAUCUUGGUGAAUGGACUGCGAAGGUAGUCCGGCAGCAUCAUCCUAGAUGCUGUUUGCUGAAAAGUAUUGAGCUUUUAUUGUCAUUGUCAUUCAUGUUGAAGCCACUAGCAAGGGAAAGUUUUUUUGAUGAAAUUUGCUUAGCAAAAGGGGGCAAAGAAAAGAAGGAAGAGAUGAAGGGGCUGACUGUAUUUACUUUGUCUGGGCCCAGUGGAGUGAUCUGGGUUUUUCUAGAUUAUUUUACAAGGCAUCUUUUGGAGGAAGAGUUAUGAUGGAACA